CGGUCGUUCAUUAGGUCAUCUAGCUAAAUUUUACUAAGCUAGCUGCCUAGUGAAGGGC
rnacentral:pre_miRNA from 1 species